rnacentral:rRNA from 1 species
AGCGAACGCUGGCGGCAUGCCUAACACAUGCAAGUCGCACGGGUCGGCUUCGGCCGGUUAGUGGCGGACGGGUGAGGAACGCGUUGGGUUCUGUCUUCGGGAGGUGGCUAUCCGCGGGAAACUGCGGCUAAGACCGCAUGCGGCGCCGGCGUGAGAGCUGUUAUCACAGGCGUGAAUCGCGAGGGGUGUAUUGGCGGGGGGUGAGCCUGCGCCCGCUUAGUUGGUUGGCGAGGUAGUGGCCCACCCAGGCGUCGACCGGUAGCUGGUCUGAGAGUGUGAUCAGCCACACUAGGACUGGGAGACGGCCCAGACUCCUACGGAAGGCAGCAAUGGGGAAUAUUGGACGAUGGGCGCGAGCCUGAUCCAGCAAGGCCGCGUGAGUGAGGAAGGUCUUCGGAUUGUAGAGCCCUGUCGGCGGGGACGAUAGUGACGGUACCCGCAGAAGAAGCCCCGGCUAACUUCGUG